UGGGGAAUAUUGGACAAUGGGCGCAAGCCUGAUCCAGCCAUGCCGCGUGGGUGAAGAAGGCCUUCGGGUUGUAAAGCCCUUUUGUCCGGGAAGAAAUCGUACGGGUGAAUAUCCCGUGCGGAUGACGGUACCGGAAGAAUAAGCACCGGCUAACUUCGUGCCAGCAGCCGCGGUAAUACGAAGGGUGCAAGCGUUACUCGGAAUUACUGGGCGUAAAGCGUGCGUAGGCGGUUUGUUAAGUCCGCUGUGAAAGCCCUGGGCUCAACCUGGGAAUUGCAGUGGAUACUGGCAAGCUAGAGUGCGGUAGAGGAUGGUGGAAUUCCCGGUGUAGCGGUGAAAUGCGUAGAGAUCGGGAGGAACACCCGUGGCGAAGGCGGCCAUCUGGACCAGCACUGACGCUGAGGCACGAAAGCGUGGGGAGCAAACA
rnacentral:rRNA from 1 species